GGGGGUCAGGUUUCAUGCUGUCAGGUCUCUUUGCUCUCACACUCGAACAAUGUUUUCACAUCUUCAGAAAGAAUAAAAAGGAGUUUUUACACUGAGAACUGUGUUUGAUUAGUUUGUUCCUGACACUGAAGACAGACGAGUGUAAGAACGACCAUAGACCAGGUCACAGUCUAUUUGAAUGAACUGUGACCCUAAACAAACACUGGUGAAUAAAAACUAAACCCUGAAGUCAAGUUAUUUAUGAAAUAAGUGCAGUAAAAGAUUCACUCCUUCAUUUUGUGUCUUGUCGUUUGCUCUUUUAAAAUCUGUCUUUCCAUGACAGUGACUUGGGUUUGAGCCUUCGCAUGUUGUACAUUGUUAUCUUCAGCUACUCAGAAAUAUCCUUUUUUUAAAGGUCAGUGAUUUAUCUCUUUCUCUCUUUUGCUCUCUUUGCUUCUUUGCGUCCACAGGUUGUCAGGAGGAGGAGCCAUGCAGACCACACACUGUCCCACAUUCUUCAUCCUGACCUCUCACAGUGAUUCUCCAUCUUUGCACCGAGGCCGAUAGAGAUGAAGUCGGAUCAACACUGGGCCCCUGUGAGGACGGCCGGGGUUUGUCUCACAAGCUGACAAGAGCAUCCCCAGAGUACACGGAUCAUUACAGCAGAAGAUUUGUCUCCAUGACUCUGACAGUUUUGGGUUUCAGCUGAACAUGUGGCCGUGUUAUCGCUGCAGGAGACGGAUCCGGAUACGAGGGGGAACAGUGUUACGUAACGGGCCCGAGUCUCCAAGGGGCCCCUCAGAUGAAGAAAUAAACGUGGAUCUGUGCAGAGAAAUGUUGAGAAAUGUACAAGGUCAAAAACACACACAUCUGUCUGUGGGUGGAGGCUUCAACAUCUGCACACAGCAGCUCCACCUUUAUUAUUCACAGGUGGGCUGUAGACAGGAGGCCCCUCUGUGCUUCAUCAUGACACUGACUUUAGUUGUACUCUCUGAUGAUACACGAGGAAGAAAAAGACAAAAAGUUACAAAGAGUUUCACUGUAAAAUCUGAUAAAUAGAGUAUCUAACAGAUAACAACGCCAGUCCAGGGUUAAGGGCCUGAUGGUCAGUAACUUAACUGCAGCCCUUGUAGUUGCUGAAAAUGACUCAAUGAAUAUAAAAUAUAAAUCUGGUGGUAAAAUAACAGCAAAAAUAUGAACCUUCCAUUAAUGUUAAGUGUCUGAAACAGAUGCAGAUGCUGCAGAUGUGUGUGUGAUUCACACAGUUUCACGCAGGUGUGUUGGCUCAUAAAUUUUGUGUUGCACACAGAGAAAGACAUUCACAUCAUGCAGACGUAGAAAGUAUUUGCUGUGUCGUCUGAAUGUAGUUUAACAGUUUAACUCUUCACUGUAAAACAUAGUUACAGUCACUACAGAAAGUUUUCACUUUUAUUUUUAAAUGGAUAAAACUGAAGUUUUUGCUCAAAUGUGUGCAAACUUAUUAAAAAUCAAAAACUGAAUCUUCCUCAUUGGUGUUUCCUGUUUGCUGACUGGACAGAGUUUAGAAACACAAAUUUAAUGUCCUUGUAAACUCUCAGAGGAUCCCAGGACAAACGUGACAGUCAUUUUUCUGUUUUGGCUGAAUAUAAUACACAGCUGAGAGACUCCAGUGUUAAACCAGAUGUGUGAAAAUAAAACAAAAUAAAACUGACAGACUUGAUGCAUUGCUCCUACAAUAGAGUUUUUGUUUAAUCUCUGCUGUUUUUAUUUGUACUUGUCUGCAGCUGCUGUUUGCAUCAUAAGGGAGGUGAAGAAGUGAUACUGAGAUAUUGUGACUGGUUAUUGUGGAAAUCCUCUCCCUCCUCUCCCUCUUCUCCCUCCAAAGAAGAAAAACACAGAUGAGUCCAAAUGAGUUUGUCCAAAUGACAAGAUAAGAAGUUGGAGUUACGAGAGAAGGUCCAGGUUGAUGUUGAAAGUUUAGAGCGAAAGUCAGAUGAAGGUUUGUUUUAGUUUGUGCAUGAGCAUGUCAGACGUCAGCUGGAGUUUCAUUAAAAGGCUUCAGAGAUGAGGGAGCUACUGGGGCUGAGAGGCCAGGAUGUGUUUUUAUCCAGAGCAGAGAUACACCUGGAAGUCAUCACAACAUCAGCUUUCAUCUUAAUCACUGCUGUCAGGGGAGAACCACAUCAUUUACACAGGAAAACACUAAGGAAUGUAACCAGGAGAGGGAUGGACAUGUGGGUCACACAGGAGUUCAACAGACCCAAGGGUUCCUUCAGGAGUUUCAAGAGGAUCUGGGUAGGAGAUGUUUAAAGGUUCUACACAGGCUUGAAGAGGUCUGAACAAUCCUUGGAAAGGGUUUAGGGAUUUUCUGUGUGUCCUUGAGAAGCUUCUAGAUGUCUUAAAUGAAGUUCUGGAGGUCUUUGAAGAGGCUCUAUGGGUUUUUGAGGGUCCUGGAAGAUCUGGGGCUCUUCCAAGAGAUUCUGUGGGUCCAUCUGUGAUCUUUGGAGAGAUCCUCAAUGAUGUUAUAGGCGUCAAUGAUGAGGUUCUAGGGAUCCCUCAAGACGUUCUAUGGAUGUUUGAUGAGAUAAGGAACCUUUAAGGAGGUUUCAUGAUGUCCCAUGGAUACAGAUAGCAGAGAAGAGAAGAGGGACAGCAGAGUGAUGGCUCUGAAACCCUGAGAAACAGUUUGACUGUGACAUACAGCUGAUCUCAGAUCUGUUUGACUGACACCCCGCAGUGAGGUUCUCUCUCUGGACUCUGGAACUCUGCGAUGUUUCUGCCCAAAUGUUGAGCAACAUUUUCGAAAAUGCUGCUGAUGUUUGUUCUGUUGCAUAAAGGAAAAUUAUUUUCUGUGAGAACAGAACAUGAGCACACAGUGAAGGCCAUCGUUGCUUCAUCACUUGGAAACUCUGCAGUAACAAAUUGUCGUCCAACUGUGAGCAGAGUCCAUGUGACAGGAGGAGGAACCGAACAAAGAGUCAAAGCCUUAAAUAACGAGGGUUCGCAAGGGUCGGGAACCUUUCAACAAACAUCACGUAGAGAUGUGUUAGACAACACGCUGUGAUGGAGCUGAAACAAAGAGAACUCAGUGAUUGGUUCUGUUUUUACAUAAAACUGAAACCUGAUGAGGCCAAGUGAUUGAGAGGAGGAGGAGGAGGGAGGGAACUCUGAUGGCAGAAAAACAAAGAAACUGUUGGAGGAAAAAUGUGGGGAGGAGAGGAAGGCGGUUACAAGGAUGAGACAAAAGAAGAAAUAAGGAGCUGUGGAACUGAAACUUCUGGACCAGAGAUCAGUGUCUCCUGAAGAUCAGUCCUGGAAACUGUCCAGAGAUCAGCUCCUUCAACUGAGGAUGUCCAGCGAGUACAUGUAUGGGAAAACCACUGGAUAGAGCUGCCCUCCACCUCCAGAUCUGUCCUCAGCUAUGUUCUCCACCUUGGUCCAGACUCAAAUCUCCCAACAUCCAUUGACGUUUCGUUCGAUUCGUGUUCCCCUCAGGAUGAACCAUAAUCACUCUGACCUUUGGUCCAGCACCAUCGUCAGGUUCAGCACUCAGUUCCACCAUCAUAAACACAGAGGCUCUUGGGGGUCAUCAGGACUUCUUUGUCCUGCCUCAGAACUCUAAUUGGUCGAUUCACAAACUGCAUACACUCAGAGAUCUGGAUCCAGAACAGUCCACUGACAGGAUUUACCCAAAACCAUCAGCCAAUCACGUUUUAGCAGCAGUCUGACAAAGUAUAUAACAACAACCUAACACCACAGUCCUCAUGUGAACAACCCCCACCCCCCGGUUCAGCCACCUACCCCCGCCCUGUUGACUCAGAGUCUGAAGGCUUGGGGAGGUUUCCUCAGUGUGCCAGCAGGCUGCCAGCCUGUGGUGCUGCCUGGUCAGCAAGCCCUGUGACUUCAACCCUCAUCCUGCAAAGAAUGUGCCUCUUUGUAGAACACUUCAAUUAGCUUUCUAAGAGGUUUACUAGGGCCUUUUUUUUCCAUCCUCUGCUCCAGAGCGACCCUGCGCUGACCUUUACCAGCUUUCUGCAGAGCCAAUUAAGAAUGAGCUGUUGAUUGAGAUCUCAGCCCUGGACUGGUUUUAAAUCUGCUCUUAGAUAUCACCUGUGUUACAGCAUCAAUUCCAACGUUUGCUGGGCCAUGAGGGCAGAACAGCGUCCAGACUGAAAUCAUACCUGAAGGAAAGGGUUUCUGUUCACCACUGAAAUGAAUCAUGAAUUCAUCAGAAGCAAGUCACACGAGGAUGUAACCCUCCAUAUACCCCACCGCCACCCCUGGUGUUUGUGGAUUUUGUGUUUGAAUACACGCAAAGACGCUGCAGGCUCCUGAAGGCCACGUGGAGAGAGGUGACGUUCGGACACGGCCAUGUGCGAGCCUCUGGGAUUUUGAAAAAUGUUGCCAUGACACCAGACGACCUCCUGGAGCUCCCCAACUUGGCCAAUAGACAGCUUAGUCUGCAGUAUAUGUUGAUCUGAGUUGGGAUUACCUCAGGACCAUGCCGAAAUUUACGACCAGAAACCAAGAUGACUUGGACCAAGUCUCUCCUGGUCUCUGCUGGGUUUAUUUAUCUGUCAGUAUUCAUCCCACAGGAGCUGAAUUCGUUUUUGCUGACGUAGCUGCUGGUAAUGCUUUAUUUUAUGGGUCCUUAAUAUCCUAAUAAUGUCCUGAGAAGUUUUCUGGAAACACUGACUGUUUGUAUUAUAGUAAUUAUGAGGAAAAUAGAGACAGUGUUCAACUGAUUCACUUCCAAUGAACUGAUUCCAAUAAACUGAUGAUAAAGAGUCUUUAGUUUAGUUUCAGGUUGACAAAAUUCACAGAAACCUCCAGGCUCAGGUCACAAGACAGGACGUGUUAGAGGACGGCCGCAGGUCACAACAUCUUUUUAUCACUAUGUGAAACCCAGAGAGGAUUGCCAGCACACAGAGACAGUUUCAUAUAAAACCUGACUUUGACACCAGGUCCAGGACUAUAUCUGUUUUUCCAACAUGGUAGCUUUGAUUAAUAGAAGUAAGAGAAGGUUUUUGGCCUCAGUCUCAGUUUCUCUGGGUCUAUCAUGAGCAGCUCAGUGGCUGAUAUUUGUCUAACCUAGAUUUCUUUCCUUGAGAUGAAAGGAGUGGUCCGUCCUGUGUGGGAGGUGAUGGGUGGAGGAGGUGGAGGUGGAGUGGGGACCACACCUAUGUUCAAAGUCUGAAACUGUUUGCACAUGAGCUGUUUGACACACUACUGUUUCACAGAGAAAACACAGGAAAACAGCAGCUAAUACAAACUCAUGGGAACUGUAGUUGUUGAAUGUUGACCACAGAUUUAUUCUUUUACUUUCUUAAUGUGAUUGUAGUGUUAAUAUUUUACCUUCCAGUCCAGCAGCAGAUAAACAGAACACCGGCCUCUUUAUGAACCAGUUAUGUCCAGGUUUUUUGUGCAUCUCUCAGGCCUGAGUGGAAGUGGAAGAUUCUGUGUUUCAUAAUCUUUCAGUCAUAUGUGAUUGUACUUUCCGUGCAGCUGUGUUGAUAUAUAAUAAACAGGCAAUGCUGAAACACUGAGAACCAUCAGGUUUGAUGUGCAAAUGUUUCUCUGAGCAGCAGUAUGGAGGUUUAAUUUGAUAUUAAACACAAAGGUUUGGAUCUGUCAAA